GAACAACGCUGGCGGCGUGCCUAACGCACGCAAGUCGAGCGGGCGCACCUUUCGGGGUGUGUCAGCGGCGGACGGGUGAGGAACACGUGGGCAACCUGCCCCGAAGUGGGGGACAACCCCGGGAGACCGGGGCUGAUACCGCAUAGGCUUGCCCCCUGGUCGGGGGGUCGAGCAAAGCCGCGAGGCGCUUUGGGAGGGGCCUGCGUCCGAUUAGCUCGUUGGCGGGGUAACGGCCCACCAAGGCGACGAUCGGAGCUGGUCUGAGAGGACGACCAGCCACAGGGGAACUGAGACACGGGCCCGACUCCUACGGGAGGCAGCAGUAAGGAAUAUUGGUCAAUGGACGCAAGUCUGAACCAGCCAUGCCGCGUGAAGGAUGAAGGUCCUCUGGAUU
rnacentral:rRNA from 1 species